AGUGAACGCUGGCGGUAGGCCUAACACAUGCAAGUCGAACGGCAGCACAGUAAGAGCUUGCUCUUACGGGUGGCGAGUGGCGGACGGGAGAGGAAUACAUCCGAAUCUACUUUUUCGUGGGGGUUAACGUAGGGAAACUUAAGCUAAUACCGCAUACGACCUUCGGGUGAAAGCAGGGGAUCUUCGGACCUUGUGCGAUUGAAUGAGCCGCUGUCGUGUUAGCUAGUUGGGGGGGUAAAGGCCCACCAAGUCGAGGAUCCGUAGCUGGUCUGAGUGGCGGGUCGGCCACACUGGAACUUAGACACGGACCAUACUCCUGCGGGAGGCAGCAGUGGGGAAUAGUAGACAAUAGUCGCGAGUCUUAUCCAGCCACACCGCGUGGGUGAAGAAGGCCUUCGGGUUGUAAAGCCCUUUUGUUGGGAAAGAAAAGCAGCAGGUUAAUACCCCGCGGUUCUGACGGUACCCAAAGAAUAAGCACCGGCUAACUUCGUG
rnacentral:rRNA from 1 species